UGCUUCUCUGGAUGAGUUGCGAACGGGUGAGUAACGCGUAGGUAACCUGCCUGGUAGCGGGGGAUAACUAUUGGAAACGAUAGCUAAUACCGCAUAAGAUUGAUUAUUGCAUGAUAGUCAAUUAAAAGGUGCAAUUGCAUCACUACCAGAUGGACCUGCGUUGUAUUAGCUAGUUGGUGAGGUAACGGCUCACCAAGGCAACGAUACAUAACCGACCUGAGAGGGUGAUCGGCCACACUGGGACUGAGACACGGCCCAAACUCCUACGGGAGGCAGCAGUAGGGAAUCUUCGGCAAUGGACGGAAGUCUGACCGAGCAACGCCGCGUGAGUGAAGAAGGUUUUCGGAUCGUAAAGCUCUGUUGUAAGAGAAGAACGAGUGUGAGAGUGGAAAGUUCACACUGUGACGGUAUCUUACCAUAAAGGGACGGCUAACUACGUGCCAGCAGCCGCGGUAAUACGUAGGUCCCGAGCGUUGUCCGGAUUUAUUGGGCGUAAAGCGAGCGCANGCGGUUAGAUAANUCUGAAGUUAAAGGCUGUGGCUUAACCAUANUACGCUUUGGAAACUGUUUAACUUGAGUGCAAGAGGGGANAGUGGAAUUCCAUGUGUAGCGGUGAAAUGCGUANAUAUAUGGAGGAACACCGGUGGCGAAAGCGGCUCUCUGGCUUGUAACUGACGCUGANGCUCGAAAGCGUGNNGAGCAAACAGGAUUANAUACCCUGGUAGUCCACGCCGUANACGAUGAGUGCUANGUGUUAGACCCUUUCCGGGGUUUAGUGCCGCANCUAACGCAUUAAGCACU
rnacentral:rRNA from 2 species